rnacentral:rRNA from 1 species
AUUGAACGCUGGCGGCAUGCCUUACACAUGCAAGUCGAACGGCAGCACGGGUGCUUGCACCUGGUGGCGAGUGGCGAACGGGUGAGUAAUACAUCGGAACGUACCUUAUCGUGGGGGAUAACGCAGCGAAAGCUGUGCUAAUACCGCAUACGCCCUGAGGGGGAAAGCGGGGGAUCGAAAGACCUCGCGCGAUUAGAGCGGCCGAUGCCUGAUUAGCUUGUUGGUGGGGUAAAAGCCCACCAAGGCGACGAUCAGUAGCUGGUCUGAGAGGACGAUCAGCCACACUGGGACUGGGACACGGCCCAGACUCCUACGGGAGGCGGCAGUGGGGAAUUUUGGACAAUGGGGGCAACCCUGAUCCAGCAAUGCCGCGUGAGUGAAGAAGGCCUUCGGGUUGUAAAGCUCUUUUGUCAGGGAAGAAACACCGGCUCUAACACAGUCCGGGAAUGACGGUACCUGAAGAAUAAGCACCGGCUAACUACGUGCCAGCCGCCGCAGUAA